CAUCUUGUGGCUUACCUUGCAGGCAGUAUUCGGAGAACUGCUGUCGGACUUUCUUCUGAUGUGUCAAUCUGGUACCACCUAGAAUUUUAACAAUAAAAACUCAAGGUCCGUUACCAGAACAGACUGGAAAAGCUUUCGGAAGGACUCUCGUUCACCCAGUAUACCGUGACUUCCUUACUGGAGCCUCUUGGUUCCACCCAACAUGGUAGAGAACUUCGGAGGGACGAACGACCUCAUCUCUACCGGUCCUCCUUUCUAGAGUUUCACGAGUGUUAGUAGUAAGUCCGGGAAGUAGAGACUACUAUAGGUGUGGCUGGGACCGUUAAACGUCUUGUACUCGUCGGUUAUAUCUCCCCACACUGCGGUUACCGUAGUGCACGUCGUUACUUCGACAACAGCGCACAUAGCUCGUUCUGCUUCCUCUUCUGUGGUAGGUCGUACAGCUACAUCAAGAGGGGUACGAGGAGCAUGAUAUGUUAC
rnacentral:rRNA from 1 species